CCUACGGGAGGCUGCAGUGGGGAAUAUUGGACAAUGGGGGGAACCCUGAUCCAGCCAUGCCGCGUGUGUGAAGAAGGCUCUCGGGUUGUAAAGCACUUUCAGUGAGGAAGAACGCCUGGUGGUUAAUACCCAUCAGGAAAGACAUCACUCACAGAAGAAGCACCGGCUAACUCCGUGCCAGCAGCCGCGGUAAUACGGAGGGUGCGAGCGUUAAUCGGAAUUACUGGGCGUAAAGCGCGCGUAGGUGGCUUGAUAAGCCGGUUGUGAAAGCCCCGGGCUCAACCUGGGAACGGCAUCCGGAACUGUCAAGCUAGAGUGCAGGAGAGGAAGGUAGAAUUCCCGGUGUAGCGGUGAAAUGCGUAGAGAUCGGGAGGAAUACCAGUGGCGAAGGCGGCCUUCUGGACUGACACUGACACUGAGGUGCGAAAGCGUGGGUAGCAAACAGGAUUAGAUACCCUUGUAGUC
rnacentral:rRNA from 1 species